rnacentral:rRNA from 1 species
AUUGAACGCUGGCGGCAGGCCUAACACAUGCAAGUCGAGCGGAGCGGCGGACGGGUGAGUAAUGCCUAGGAAUCUGCCUGGUAGUGGGGGAUAACGUCCGGAAACGGGCGCUAAUACCGCAUACUAUCAGAUGAGCCUAGGUCGGAUUAGCUAGUUGGUGGGGUAAAGGCAUACAAAGGCGACGAUCCGUACCUGGUCUGAGAGGAUGAUCAGUAACACUGGAACUUGGACACGUGCCAGACUCCUACGGGGGGCAGCAGUGGGGAAGAUUGGACGAUGGGCGAAAGCCUGGUCCAGCCAGGCCGGGUGUGUGAAGAAGGUCUUCGGAUUGUAAAGCACUUUAAGUUGGGAGGCGUUACCAACAGAAUAAGCACCGGCUAACUUCGGGCCAGCAGCCGCGGAAUAC